rnacentral:rRNA from 1 species
CUACGGGAGGCUGCAGUGAGGAAUUUUGCGCAAUGGGGGGAACCCUGACGCAGCAACGCCGCGUGAGUGAUGAAGGCUUUCGGGUCGUAAAGCUCUGUCAAGUGGGAAGAACCUAUGCAGUGUUAAUAUCACUGUAUACUGACGGUACCACUGAAGGAAGCACCGGCUAACUCCGUGCCAGCAGCCGCGGUAAUACGGGGGGUGCAAGCGUUAUUCGGAAUCAUUGGGCGUAAAGGGCACGUAGGCGGCUUGGUAAGUCAGAUGUGAAAGCCCGGGGCUUAAACCCGGAAGUGCAUUUGAUAAUGUCAGGCUUUAGGAGGGGAGAGGGAAGUGGAAUUCCUGGUGUAGAGGUGAAAUUCGUAGAUAUCAGGAGGAACACCGGUGGCGAAGGCGACUUCCUGGACCAAUACUGACGCUGAGGUGCGAAGGCGUGGGUAGCAAACAGGAUUAGAUACCCCCGUAGUC